UACGUAGGGUGCAAGCGUUGUCCGGAAUUAUUGGGCGUAAAGAGCUUGUAGGCGGUUUGUCGCGUCUGCCGUGAAAAUCCGGGGCUCAACCCCGGACUUGCGGUGGGUACGGGCAGACUAGAGUGUGGUAGGGGAGACUGGAAUUCCUGGUGUAGCGGUGAAAUGCGCAGAUAUCAGGAGGAACACCCAUGGCGAAGGCAGCAGACUGGGCGUUUCCUGACGCUGAGGCGCGAAAGCGUGGGUAGCAAACAGG
rnacentral:rRNA from 1 species